rnacentral:rRNA from 1 species
GACAGAGGUGCCGAGCGUUAGGCGGAAUCACUGGGCUUAAAGCGUGUGUAGGCGGGCGGGCAAGUACCUUGUGGAAUCCCACGGCUCAACCGUGGAACUGCUGGGUAUACUGCUCGUCUUGAGCCAAUCAGGGGCGAGCGGAACAGACGGUGGAGCGGUGAAAUGCGUAGAUAUCGGGAGGAACACCUGUGGCGAAAGCGGCUCACUGGACCACAACUGACGCUGAGGCGCGAAAGCUAGGGGAGCAAACAGG